AGGGCGAUAGCUCAGGGCUAGAGCGCAUGCUUAGCAUGCAUGAGGUCCUGGGCUUGAUCCCCAGUACUUCUG
rnacentral:tRNA from 1 species